GCUGGGAUAGCUCAGUCGGAAGAACAGGAGACCCUUAGUCUCAGGGUUGUGGGUUUGAACCCCACGUUGGGCA